AUAGGUUUAGACUUUUUCUCAAAGUUAUAUGUAAAAUUCUCUAAGUUUAUCCAUUAGUCUCCAUCAGGUGUGAUGCAAAAAUCAUCGUUUUCUUUCUUGUAUUAAAAUGUUAAAAACCAACUGGACUGUCCUUAAUUUGAUUGUUACAUGGUAUCCUCUCCAUUUUCUACCUCUAGGCUCAGUUAUUUUCUUUUUCUGAAGGGGUUAGUCUCGCUUUUGAUUUGUGGACCCAAGCCACGUUCAAUCCGUUUCCCCUGAUACCUGUCCCAGGACGUUUCCUGAAGCAAUCCUGCUCAUCAUUGAAUUUAAACAUUAAGUGACACGAUGGCUAGUGGCAGUUCCAAAAGCAUUUGUUUCUACAACAUGGGAAAGAACCCCUCACACAUUUCUACCCUCACAUCAUAAGCCUCACUGAAGGAGAGAAUAUUUCAAACACCUAUGGCCUGGGCUGAGUAGAAUAAUCCUUAGUCGACUGUGUAACUGGAGAUCUUCUGAGACCAUCUCAUUUUAAAACACGUAAUAUCUGACUACUAAGAUGAAGAAUGGAACCAUUUGGCUGUCAAUAAUUAGCUUGACACUACAUGAGGCAAAGGAGAGACACAGAUUCCAUUAAAGCACAGGACUAUUUGGAACCUAAAAAGCAAGUCAGAUUCUCUACUAAGGAUGAAGAUAAAAAAGAGGAACUACAGGAAAAGGAGAAAUAGGAGCAGAAAAAAAGAUGAGAGUGCAUAAGAGGAAAAGGAAGUGACUGUCAAUGGCACAUAAAGCGGGUACUUCAAGCAGGUAAAGUCAUGUACCACAUAUAUUGUUUUGGACAAUGAGUAACUAUAUAUAUGACAGUGUUUUCAUAGGAUUAUAAUGGAGGUCAGAAAUUCCUCUCACCUAGUAACAUGUUAGAACUUCCAGUGGGACAAGAUGCGGAGGCGGAAAACAAGUGAUAUUUAUAUUCCUGACCCUGUGUAAGCCUAGGCUAAUGUUUGUGUUUGUGUCUUCUUUUUUAACAAACAAACAAAAAGCUUAAAAAGUAAAUAAAACAUUAAAAGAAUAGAAAAAAA
rnacentral:lncRNA from 1 species